rnacentral:rRNA from 1 species
CAGUCGCCACGGGAAUACGGAGGGAGCUAGCGUUAUUCGGAAUUACUGGGCGUAAAGCGCACGUAGGCGGCUUUGUAAGUUAGAGGUGAAAGCCUGGAGCUCAACUCCAGAAUUGCCUUUAAGACUGCAUCGCUUGAAUCCAGGAGAGGUGAGUGGAAUUCCGAGUGUAGAGGUGAAAUUCGUAGAUAUUCGGAAGAACACCAGUGGCGAAGGCGGCUCACUGGACCGGUAUUGACGCUGAGGUGCGAAAGCGUGGGGAGCAAACAGGAUUAGAUACCCCAGUAGUCCCUGUCUCUUAUAA